AUUCAAUUACACUAGCUCAAUUACUCCCAAAAACAAAACAAAAAGAUCACUGAAUCGACUAAAAAGGGACAUUAAAACUGAAAUUUUCAUCCAAAAUCACAACUAGCGACUGUUGUUAUCCUAAUUUUAUAUUAAAAAGAGAUUAAGAAAACUUACAACUAUGUUUCCCACAACUAUCAGUUGCAAUUUCUUUCUCACUAAUGGAAUCUGCAC
rnacentral:lncRNA from 1 species